rnacentral:lncRNA from 1 species
CUUUGGCUUUGUCUUUCUUUUUGUUCCAUCCCCCAAAUUAUGACUGAGCAUUUAAAGCAAGACCUACAUCCUUUUUCUUUUGCAGUAGACAUUAGGCACUGAACAUGGGGACUUUAAACUUAGUAACAUACUAGCAUGGAAAGAGUCAUCUACAGAAUGCUGCAGGAGAGAAAAGGGUGGUUAGAUCUGGGAGUGGUGUUCCUAUGGUCUGAGAUGUGGCAGAGCCUAAUAAUAAUUUCCUGAAACUCAUGAAAAUUCAGUUCCUUUUUGAUUUUACAAUACUUUGAAGUUAGCCCUGUGCUGAGCAGUGGGUUCCAGUGGGUUGUGGAUGACAUCCAAAAGCUCUUCCAGUGUGAAUUAUUCUGAUUUUGUGAUUGUUAUUCUGCCCUUUCAUUUUGCAGACACAGACGGAGCUGCCCAAGGAAGAGCAGGACUGGUCCCACAGUAUGUCCUGCUGACCACCUCAUCCUGAGAAAAGGGACGUACUUGCUCCUGAGACUUCCAGGCCUUUUUAAGAAACUCAAAAUGCUCUAUGUAAGUCCCCUGUAUUUGGCAUUCCAUGUCAGUGGAAUCUGCAAGGUCAGGUACCAGAAUCCAAAGGAAAAUUUGGCCUUCCAGGGCUGCAUCAAAGUGAAACUGAGUGCUAAGCUCUGACCCCAUGUAUGCAAGAACCUCCCCGGCAUGAAUCCUGACCCAGCGCUGGGAUCAGGAUGCCAGACCAUGACCUUCACCCAUCCCCAAGGCACAAACACUGUGGAAGUGGUUCAGCAGGGUCUCCUUGCACAGUGCUUGGACGAGACCAGCAUCUGCCACCAGCCUCUGGCCGUCCUCUCGUUCCUCACCGUGUGUCACCCUGUCUGCCAUGGCCCAUCCCUGCUGUCACCAUCCAGCGCUCUGCGAUCCCUGCUCCUGCAAUAACACACAGCCCCGGGGCUGGGGCUGCUACUGGACUUCAGCUCUGUAAACCCUUGAAGGGCUCCAAGAACCAGAAGUUUUUGCAUCCUGCACUGGCCCGAGUGAACCUCACAUCCUGA